GAUGAAGAACGCAGCGAAAUGCGAUAAGUAAUGUGAAUUGCAGAAUUCAGUGAAUCAUCGAAUCUUUGAACGCACCUUGCGCCCUUUGGCUAUUCCGAAGGGCAUGCCUGUUUGAGUAUCAUGAACACCUCAACUCUCAUGGCUUGCCAUGAUGAGCUUGGACUUUUGGGGGUCUUGCUGGCCUGUGGUCAGCUCCUCUCAAAUGAAUUAGCCUGCCAGUGUUUGGUGGCAUCACAGGUGUGAUAACUAUCUACGCUUGUGGUUUUCCACCAGGUAACCUUCAGUGAUGAAGGUUCGCUGGGGCUCAUAAACGUCUCUCCUCAGUGAGGACAGCUCUUUGAACGUUUGAUCUCAAAUCAGGUAGGACUACCCGCUGAACUUAAGCAUAUCAAUAAGCGGAGGA
rnacentral:misc_RNA from 1 species